rnacentral:rRNA from 1 species
UUAAGCGACUAAGCGUACACGGUGGAUGCCCUGGCAGUCAGAGGCGAUGAAGGACGUGCUAAUCUGCGAUAAGCGCCGGUAAGGUGAUAUGAACCGUUAUAACCGGCGAUUUCCGAAUGGGGAAACCCAGUGUGACUCGUCACACUAUCAUUAACUGAAUCCAUAGGUUAAUGAGGCGAACCGGGGGAACUGAAACAUCUAAGUACCCCGAGGAAAAGAAAUCAACCGAGAUUCCCCCAGUAGCGGCGAGCGAACGGGGAGGAGCCCAGAGCCUGAAUCAGCAUGUGUGUUAGUGGAAGCGUCUGGAAAGGCGCGCGAUACAGGGUGACAGCCCCGUACACAAAAGCGCAUGUGCUGUGAGCUCGAUGAGUAGGGCGGGACACGUGGUAUCCUGUCUGAAUAUGGGGGGACCAUCCUCCAAGGCUAAAUACUCCUGACUGACCGAUAGUGAACCAGUACCGUGAGGGAAAGGCGAAAAGAACCCCGGCGAGGGGAGUGAAAAAGAACCUGAAACCGUGUACGUACAAGCAGUGGGAGCACCCUUUGGGGUGUGACUGCGUACCUUUUGUAUAAUGGGUCAGCGACUUAUAUUCUGUAGCAAGGUUAACCGAAUAGGGGAGCCGGAGGGAAACCGAGUCUUAAUUGGGCGUUAAGUUGCAGGGUAUAGACCCGAAACCCGGUGAUCUAGCCAUGGGCAGGUUGAAGGUUGGGUAACACUAACUGGAGGACCGAACCGACUAAUGUUGAAAAAUUAGCGGAUGACCUGUGGCUGGGGGUGAAAGGCCAAUCAAACCGGGAGAUAGCUGGUUCUCCCCGAAAGCUAUUUAGGUAGCGCCUCGUGAAUUCAUCUCCGGGGGUAGAGCACUGUUUCGGCUAGGGGGCCAUCCCGGCUUACCAACCCGAUGCAAACUGCGAAUACCGGAGAAUGUUAUCACGGGAGACACACGGCGGGUGCUAACGUCCGUCGUGAAGAGGGAAACAACCCAGACCGCCAGCUAAGGUCCCAAAGUCAUGGUUAAGUGGGAAACGAUGUGGGAAGGCCCAGACAGCCAGGAUGUUGGCUUAGAAGCAGCCAUCAUUUAAAGAAAGCGUAAUAGCUCACUGGUCGAGUCGGCCUGCGCGGAAGAUGUAACGGGGCUAAACCAUGCACCGAAGCUGCGGCAGCGACGCUGAUGCGUUGUUGGGUAGGGGAGCGUUCUGUAAGCCUGCGAAGGUGGCCUGUGAGGGUUGCUGGAGGUAUCAGAAGUGCGAAUGCUGACAUAAGUAACGAUAAAGCGGGUGAAAAGCCCGCUCGCCGGAAGACCAAGGGUUCCUGUCCAACGUUAAUCGGGGCAGGGUGAGUCGACCCCUAAGGCGAGGCCGAAAGGCGUAGUCGAUGGGAAACGGGUUAAUAUUCCCGUACUUGGUGUUACUGCGAAGGGGGGACGGAGAAGGCUAUGUUGGCCGGGCGACGGUUGUCCCGGUUUAAGCGUGUAGGUGUGUGUUCCAGGUAAAUCCGGUUCACUUUAACACUGAGGCGUGAUGACGAGGCACUACGGUGCUGAAGCAACAAAUGCCCUGCUUCCAGGAAAAGCCUCUAAGCAUCAGGUAACAUCAAAUCGUACCCCAAACCGACACAGGUGGUCAGGUAGAGAAUACCAAGGCGCUUGAGAGAACUCGGGUGAAGGAACUAGGCAAAAUGGUGCCGUAACUUCGGGAGAAGGCACGCUGACACGUAGGUGAAGUGAUUUACUCAUGGAGCUGAAGUCAGUCGAAGAUACCAGCUGGCUGCAACUGUUUAUUAAAAACACAGCACUGUGCAAACACGAAAGUGGACGUAUACGGUGUGACGCCUGCCCGGUGCCGGAAGGUUAAUUGAUGGGGUCAGCGCAAGCGAAGCUCCUGAUCGAAGCCCCGGUAAACGGCGGCCGUAACUAUAACGGUCCUAAGGUAGCGAAAUUCCUUGUCGGGUAAGUUCCGACCUGCACGAAUGGCGUAAUGAUGGCCAGGCUGUCUCCACCCGAGACUCAGUGAAAUUGAACUCGCUGUGAAGAUGCAGUGUACCCGCGGCAAGACGGAAAGACCCCGUGAACCUUUACUAUAGCUUGACACUGAACAUUGAGCCUUGAUGUGUAGGAUAGGUGGGAGGCUUUGAAGUGUGGACGCCAGUCUGCAUGGAGCCGGCCUUGAAAUACCACCCUUUAAUGUUUGAUGUUCUAACGUGGACCCGUGAUCCGGGUUGCGGACAGUGUCUGGUGGGUAGUUUGACUGGGGCGGUCUCCUCCUAAAGAGUAACGGAGGAGCACGAAGGUUGGCUAAUCCUGGUCGGACAUCAGGAGGUUAGUGCAAUGGCAUAAGCCAGCUUGACUGCGAGCGUGACGGCGCGAGCAGGUGCGAAAGCAGGUCAUAGUGAUCCGGUGGUUCUGAAUGGAAGGGCCAUCGCUCAACGGAUAAAAGGUACUCCGGGGAUAACAGGCUGAUACCGCCCAAGAGUUCAUAUCGACGGCGGUGUUUGGCACCUCGAUGUCGGCUCAUCACAUCCUGGGGCUGAAGUAGGUCCCAAGGGUAUGGCUGUUCGCCAUUUAAAGUGGUACGCGAGCUGGGUUUAGAACGUCGUGAGACAGUUCGGUCCCUAUCUGCCGUGGGCGCUGGAGAACUGAGGGGGGCUGCUCCUAGUACGAGAGGACCGGAGUGGACGCAUCACUGGUGUUCGGGUUGUCAUGCCAAUGGCACUGCCCGGUAGCUAAAUGCGGAAGAGAUAAGUGCUGAAAGCAUCUAAGCACGAAACUUGCCCCGAGAUGAGUUCUCCCUGAGACUUAGAGUCUCCUGAAGGAACGUUGAAGACGACGACGUUGAUAGGCCGGGUGUGUAAGCGCAGCGAUGCGUUGAGCUAACCGGUACUAAUGAACCGUGAGGCUUAACCU